rnacentral:rRNA from 1 species
AGAAUCAACGCUGGCGGCGUGCCUAACACAUGCAAGUCGAACGAGAAAGUGGAGCAAUCCACGAGUAAAGUGGCGCACGGGUGAGUAACACGUGACUAACCUACCCUUGAGUGGGGGAUAACCUAGGGAAACCUGGGCUAAUACCGCAUAAUACCUACGGGUCAAAGGAGCAAUUCGCUUAAGCGAGGGGGUCGCGGCCGAUUAGUUAGUUGGCGGGGGUAAUGGCCCACCAAGACGAUGAUCGAUA